UCCCGCUUAGCUCAGUGGUAGAGCGCAUCACUAGUACCAGGUUCUAACCUCGAAAAUGAUGAGGUCAGUCGUUCAAGUCGGCUAGUGGGAA